rnacentral:lncRNA from 1 species
CCAUGAGCUCUAACACAGAAUAACAGCUUGAAAUUUACAGAAUCAGAGUUUGAAAUCUAGGAUUUCACUUACCGAAUUAGAAAAUGAAUAUGAGAGAGAGAGAUUGGAUGGCAUAGCCACAUAUAUAAUAUAAUAUAUGAUGUGGGUGACAAUAAAUUUGCAGUCAAGAACAUCCUAUAAAUUCAGAGCUUGAGAAGCAGAGGUCACGGCUUGGAUCUGCAUCUUCAGUGACAUAUUUGUGUGACUCCCCUCUAUCUUAAAAAUCAAACCCAAAAUGGAAGGAAAAGAAACUAUUGUACCCUCUGUUUAUUUUGCUCUGCUUUUUUAGUUGCUCACUCAACCAGUACAAGAAUGGGUAAAAAUUGG